GGCGCCGUAGCCAAGUGGCCUAAGGCAGUGGAUUGCAAAUCCACCAUCCUCGGUUCAAAUCCGAGCGGCGCCU
rnacentral:tRNA from 1 species